CCUUUGAAAUUGCUAAUUUCUAGUCUUAAAACUAAAUAGCAAAGAGAGAUAACUGUUAUUGAAUAUGACAACUGAUACCUACAAAUAAAUGUCGAGGCAGAGAGGAGGGGUUCCUAAUUAAUUCCCCUGCUCCUCAUGCCCAAUACACCAGGGAUGGCACUGCUUUCCAGAGAUUCCAGAACUUGUCCUGAGAUUCCAGAACUUGUCCUGAAAGGAUUAGGGCCUCGACUCAUUACUUAGAUGUUGCUUGGGUUGGUAGCGUUACCUUGUCCUCAUACCAAGGCAAUUCGGGUCCUUCCCUGAUCCUAUUCUAUCUCUACCUUUCUUCUUCCUGUUCCCAGACAUGCUCCACUCUGAACACCUUUCUGGUUCCCUUCUCCCACAUUCUCACAAAAAGAAUUUGGGAAAACAGUUGACUAUCCCCACCCCCCACCUUUAAACCUGCUACUUGUUUUACCCUAUUUCUGUUUACAGAUUUCUUUCUGGCUCUGCCUUCGUUCUGUGAUAUCUACAAAGGAAGCCAACCCAGGGAAAAGUGCCCUUGGAAAGAAUACGGAUCAGUAGAUUUGAAGGAGUAGCCCUCCCCAUGCCCCAAUUAGAAAACUGAUCAGAACAAUUGCUUAAGAAGUCCACUUAUUAAAGGACUGAAAAAUAUGAAUCAUGAUCAGGGGAUUUAUCAGAAAUAUUAAAAGAAGACAUAUGGGACCGAUUUCCAAAAUAGGAAAGCAUUAUUUCCCUGGAAAUAAUCCAGGGAAAACAUACAACUGGGAAUUUCAACAUUAUGCAAGAAAAUGGAGCAAAUCUUACGAGAGAAAGGCUCGACUCACAAGGAGGAUACAUAAUGUACAGCCGAAUCUGCAAGCUCCUAUUUUGUCAGCUGCUUGUGUUGAUUAAAACUUCAAUAAAGAUCCUG
rnacentral:lncRNA from 1 species